rnacentral:rRNA from 1 species
UACGAAGGGGGCUAGCGUUGCUCGGAAUCACUGGGCGUAAAGCGCACGUAGGCGGACUCUUAAGUCGGUGGUGAAAUCCUGGAGCUCAACUCCAGAACUGCCUUCGAUACUGAGAGUCUCGAGUCCGGGAGAGGUGAGUGGAAUUCCCAGUGUAGCGGUGAAAUGCGUAGAUAUUGGGAGGAACACCAGUGGCGAAGGCGGCUCACUGGACCGGUUCUGACGCUGAGGCGCGAAAGCGUGGGGAGCAAACGGG